UUAUAAUUAAGUAUCUCUCAAAGAGAAGCUGGGAAAAUCGAAUUGUGCCCCUUCCACUCAAAACAAAACAACAAAAGAAGAUUAGAAAAAAUGAAGCUGGAGCAUGGGAAUGUGUGAGAAGAGGCUGAGAAGUGGGUUUGUGCAGCCCGGAGGAGAGCUGGAGGAUCCUUCUACCUCCUUAGGCUCCCUAUGGAGAAGACAGAGCCGGGUGCUUCCUGAGGUACACUGGAAGGAUGAGAGGCAGUGGCAGGAACAGCAGCAAGGAACGUGCCAGGUAGAUGUAGGGAAAAGCCUUUCAUCCUGAGGUGGUCAAAAACAGGAAGAGAGGCUCAGAGAGGCUGGGGGCUGCAUUCUUGGAGGUGUUCAGAGCUCAACCAGGCAAGACCCCUGUCAGCCUUGCGUAGCUUUGAUGUUAUUCCUGUGUAAGUUAGAUGCUCAACUGGAGAUGUUUUGAGUCUCUUGAAAACUGAAUUUGUCCGCAAGCUAAAGGUGAAUGGGUGUGAAGUUGUGCCUAAAAGUGCCUGUGUGAUCUAGGACCAUGCAGACAGAGAUGCCUCAUAAAAGCUACCUGUGCAGAGACUGUGGAAGUCCGUCACUAGAGCCAUGCCCAUGCUUGAUACCUGCGGGUGCUUCCAUGUGAAAGUCAAACAAUAAGGGGAGAUUUUGUAACAUUCCAUAUAGAAAGGAUUAAGGAGUUCAGCCUUCUUUUUUUUUUUUUUUUUUUUUUUUUUUUUUAAAUCAAAGCACCUUAAAGCUUCUUGUCUAUAGGUAUCUACGUGGUGACGUGGAAUAGAUGGAUCUUCAGAGAAAAAGAUAAAGGUAUGAGUGUGCAAUGACUUCAUCUGAAGAUGAACAAAUUCAGGAAAGAAAUGCAUCCCUUCCAGCAGUGAGGAUACUCAGCUGUUGGAACAUCCUCCUCCAAGUCACUGGGCCUGCUUGGGUGGGCUUAACUGUGCUUUUCGUGAAGGAGCUCAUCCCAUUUAGGAAGGAAAUGCCACCAGGAGGCCCAGUGCCAGGGCUGUGUAGGACAGAUCGUGUAAUCAUAAAGAUACCUUCUGACUGUAAAAGUCUCCAGGUGAUCCACCCUCCAGGCCUGAUGUUAAAUAUACCACUGUAAUACUGAACACCAGGGUGGCAGGUGUCUGUCUUGCAACUUGCUGUAACGAGUGAGGAAAAUGCUUCAAAAGGUGUAUGGCUGUUACUCUCAGGAAGAGAAGUUCUGCAUUAUAAAAUCCCUGAGUGGUGGCAAUUGCUUGAAGAUGUGCUGGUGGCAGUGGAGAGAUGCUGACACUUACUCUGAAAAUCCCAUGGAUAAGCAGAGGUCGCACGGCUGGGACGUUACUUCUUGUGAGCAAAGGCCAGACACGGCCGGUCCCAUCAGACCCGGGGGCUGCUGGCUGGGCAGGCAGGCUGCACCCCCGGCAGGGCUGGCACAGCACGCCGCCAUCGCCAGCUUCAGCAGCAACUGCAGCUUGUGCUCCGUGCCAGGCAGCGGGAUUCCAGUGCCAACGUUGAUAUGAGAAGUAAUCUAACCUACCUCAGGCCGGAGAGAAGCCCAGGAGAUAAGCUGUAUACCGCAAUGAUUUCACAUGAUGGAAGUGCCCAGAUCUGAAAAGAAGACUUGAAAUCAGUCAAUUCUUUCUUCCCAGUGAAAAAGAGUCCACUGUCUUUUGAUAGUGUUCCCAGAGGUGGAGACCCUUGGCACUGAAGAGGAGCUAAACCACAUCCUUUCCAGUGGGUGCUUUGGUGUUUCUGUGGGUCUUCAAGCACGUACCUGGACCCUGCGGCGAGUGUUGGAGGUGCUUUCGGCACUGAGCAGCAAUCCUGCCCUCCCCAGCUCAGCGCAGACCAAUGCCUGGUACCUGCUGAGCUGCUGCUCAACACCCCGGGCUGCAGCUGGGACAGGCUUGGAGCUUCAGCCCCAUGUCACAGGGCCUUUUUGUGCUGAGGAGCUAAUAGCACUGGAAGCCCUUGUGCAAGCCUGGUGGUUGCAUUCAGCUCCUCUGAAAUUACAUUUUUCACACCUAGGUUGCUGCAAGAGACAGCAGAGUUGAUGAGAACUUGGGCAAGUUCAAAGAACUUGAAGUUCCCUUGCAGUAGCUCAUCCAACAGCCAGCUGCCCUGACUUAGCUGUGUGAAGAGCACAGCAGCUCCUGCACUGCACCUGAGGUACGCUACAAGAGCUCAGUCGUCAGGAGGAUGAAAAGGGCACAAAAUGGUAUUUACUGUUCAUGUGCUUUAUAAAGCAGAGAUGAGCCUGGUGACUGAAGCACCACAUGGAGAGCCUUCCAUGUCUUAUCUUACAGGACAAGAGCAUUGUGCAUCCAUAUCGUGUAAGCGGGAUGAGAAUGAAAUACAGAACAUGGUGCGUUUCUCAUUAUCUUGCUUGCAUGUGACCAUUUGGAACUGUGAAUAGCUGUGAAUGGUUCCUCAGUGAGAGGGGCGCCAGUGGCUCCCUCACCACAAACCCCACUCUCAGUUAACAGAGGUCUUUUAACUUGCACGUAAUGUCUUGCUUGAGCUUCAUGUUUUGUCUUGCAGAUCUCCCUCCUCUGUUGUUAUGAGGAAGGAAUGUUCCUUGUUCCCUUGUCAGGCACUGCAGUGCUCUCAAGCUUUUUUUGUGUGUGUGUGCUGGUUGGUUUUGGUCGAUUUGUUUAUUUUCUGUUUGUUCCUGGUGACAGCAUCAUCUAAACGUUUUCCAGGGUGUUUAGUUACUUCGUGAAAAUGUUAUGAAUCAUGCUAGUGAGUUGUGCUGCCUUGCCCAGCUUUCCUGUUGGGAAGUGGCUGGAAGUGUAAUGGAAAUGUAGGCAGCACAAGGGAAGCAGGCAGCAUCUGUCCCACCGGAGAGCAGAGCCCCUGCUUCCUUCCUCUGCUUUGGCCGAAGCCUGGUGGGGCCAGGCUGCCAAACGGCCAGCAGCAGUAAUGAUAAGGAAGUG